UAUGGACGGGGUAAGGCGAGGAGCGAAUGCUGGGCGGUGACGAGAAAGAGGACGGUUUAGAGAGGCGUACCGGCAAUCAGCAAUGGAACGGUUUGAUGCCGUUUUAUCGUCCUUUUCCUCUUGCAAUAAUUCCGAUAUUUCCACCUCAACAAAAGGCGAGGAAACGAGGGAGGGGCGGGCAAAGAGAUCGCUGCUGUUGUGUGCUUGGUCGCGUCCGGAAGCUUCGCCUCUGUCUCUCUCCAUCUCUCCUCCCUUUCGCUUCGUUUCUAGUUUCGAUCACACCAUUCUUGGGACGAUGCUCGAGAUCUGGUAGUUUCUUGCCUUCAGAUCCAGUAAGGGUUUCGUUGUCUUAACUUGCUUGCCUGAUCUCACCGUGUGUGAGUGGAUCCUUGGGGAACCAGGAUGCGCGUUUAAUCGAGUUCUCUUCCUUUGUUUUCUUACCGAUGAUGAAAGACUCUUUAUUUGCCUUGGAUCUCGAAUUCUUCUUCUUCUUCUUAUUCCUAUUUUUCAGAUUAUUUUGCUUUAAUUUUUGGUAGUAUAGCUUAUUAGAAGAUUCUACCUCGUUGGAGCGGACGGAUCUCGGAGAAGUAUCCACAUCACACUGCGGUUUAUGAUGGGGUUUCUUGUUGAUGCGCUUGCAUGAGCGUUGUUGGUUGACAACGAGAGAGAGCACGCCGGUCCGAGGCCCAUGCCGGCUGCCAUGGUCCAGUACUAGCGUGCUCCUUCUCGUUGUCACCCCGUUUCGCCUCACCAACAUCAAUCGCUUCUUCUUGCCCCAUAUUCCUACCGUCGGCCUUGUCGAGAUGAAGUGCUGCAUCUGAUAGGUUGGCUAAAUGAGGCUUGAGCAACAGUUCAUGCUGAACCAAUGUACUUCAAACAUAAGCCGGCAGGACAUCUUUAUGUGCAAAUUUGAAUUUGGUAGUGUAGAACCCCAUUUCAAGGAAAUAGGGUGAGUCAGUUUGAUGUUCUUUUACUUAAUAUUACUUAAUUUUUUUCUGAAAAUAAGAACGCAUAAUUUGCUUUAAGUUGGUCCUACUCGUUAUCCUUCAAUUGUACCUAAUACAAUCCAUUGUAAAUCGAGGUCUAGACAAAGUGACAAUCCAACAUGGAAAGUAAUAUGACUGAGUCAGAUUCAAGUCAAAUUAAGUGAUUUUUGAAUCUGACUCAACUAAUCCAACUGAAGUUUGUCACAAAGUUUCUGCAUGUCACAGAUAGUAGGAAAACAUUAGAAAUCCACUUCAUUUCCUGUAACUUCUACAGAGAAAAACACCAUUUAGUGUAUUGCUAAUCCUCAAAUUUUCACUUACUAUGAUUUUUUUCAGAAUUGUAACCAUUCAAAUUGAGCCGAAGAUGUUCCUAGGAAUUAGCAUUUGAACAGUGAAGUGUUUCCUCCAAUUAUAGUUCUUGUUUAUAUCAGUGGAGGACUCUUUCAGCUUUCAACAAUGCAAUUUUGUGCCACUAAUUUAUAUUUAUUUCUUUACAAAUGUAUCUAAUGAUGCUACAGUUGGUUCAACUAUUCUUGAAGUGGACUGGUAGUAUUCUGAUUAA